UUUUUUGGAAGAUUAGCCUUGAACUAACUUCAUGCCACCAAUCCUCCUGUUCUUGCUGAGGAAGCCAGGCCCUGAGCUAACAUCCGUGCCCAUCUUCCUCUAGUUUAUACGUGGGACGCCUGCCAAAGCAUGACUCGAUGAAGAGUGUGUAGGUCUGCACCCGGGACCCAAACCGGUGAACCUUGGGCCACCGAAGCAGAACGCGCAAACUUAACCACUGCACCACCAGAUGUCACACCAUCCCUGCAUCUCUGGAAUGAAUCCCACCUGAUCAUGAUGGUAAUGAAGGCUUCAUAGAAGGAGUUAGGAAGCCUCCCCUCCUCUUCAAUUUUUUGGAAGACUUUGAGAAGGCUUUCAGCAAACAGAAGUAGGAUGAGCAGGAAGAUACACACGAAGGAAAUUUAUGUGGACCAGUUCUGUAGUAGUGCUUGUCCCUCUCGCGACAUUCAUAUUAGCACAUUUAACUGUUAAGGAGGCUGGGAAAAGUCAUCUAGCUGUGCGCUCAGGAGGAAGAGAAAAUGGUUUGGAAGAACAGCACUAGGAGCCUGCUGUGGUGCCUUCAACAAAUGGGAGUUUGUUUUUCUUCUGUUCAAGACGUCUCAAGAGAAAACUGAAGAAAAAAACCCGAACAAACCUGAAAGAAGACCAUAGAAAAGGAGUCACCCAAAAGAGUGAAAAAAUAUAUUUAGUAAAGGACUCAAAACUUUUAGAAGGCAGGGACUGCAUCUUUUUUUGGGGGGGGUGGGGGUGAAUAUGGUUUAGAGACCAGUGAAAUGUAAAGCUAACUUACUUUUUGGCUGAAAUUGAUUGAUUGUGCAAAUACUGAUUAUUACAAUGCCUGGAAAAAUUCGUCUAGUCAAAAAUAGCAAUUGCCAUGACUACAUGUCCAUGAGUCUCUCUCUUUUUUACUUGCUUUGUCUGCUGGUUGAAACAGGGAGGGACAGACACGUGAGAGGUACACGCUAUGUGCCACUGCUUCUGACGCUGCCAUGGUUAACAUGACGGGGUCAAAGCCACUUCACAGUUUUGCUUCAGAAGCCACAAAAGACUUCCUGUGAUGUCAGGCAGCCUGCAGUAACCCAAAUGGUCGCCCCAAAAGGCACAUCUCUGACAAAGAGUCUUUGACAGACUUAGUUACUUUCAGUGCCAGUCACUGCCUUGCUGGAAGUCUGUCUGGAUGUCCCUUCUGCAAAGCAACUAAGUCCUUCCAGCAUCAAAGUGAGAAUAAAAAUAUCUUGACAAGCUCAUCUCUCUUUUUGAAUCCCUUGGACACUUGGGCACUGGUGUGCUCUGAAUCCAGGAUCGUGCUGGGAGAGCAGUAAGCUGAUGGCUGUGGAAUGUGCCCUUGGAAAUGGAACGGCCUGGAGGUGGGGAAUUUCAGCCAGGUGCUGGCACCAAAGGAGAUUUAAGCAAAUUCUUCUCAGAUUUGUGCAUAGAGAUAUGAUUUUCUUAAAAUUAAAAACUCAUAAUGUGAAAGUUCUCAUUAGAAAACAGAAAAACAUUUUGACUUAGCUUGUCAGGGAACAUACAACUUAUUUCAGGUUAUUAUUUUCUUUUUGAAGACUUAUAUUUUAAAAAUGUAACAAAAACAAAAUUAAGACUAAUUUUACCACUUGCUGAAUGGGAAAGUGAGACUUGUUUUGAGAAUGGACCUAGCUAGGGGAGUCUUAUGUUUUUCUUGCUUUCACAGCCCUGGCUCUACAAACGAUUCCAG
ensembl:lncRNA